rnacentral:lncRNA from 1 species
AGUGUAUGGUUGUAUGGAGGAGCUUUGAGUCCAGAUUCUUUUCAUUCCAGCUAGGUGCCUACGGGAAGUUCAUCUAACCUGUGAAAGAUGUGGCCUCUUAACAAACACAUGUCUGGGUUGCUACUUGGUCCCAGUGUACAACAUGGAUUCUUCCAGUUUGCACUUUCACCUUCAGCAUGUACCUGUGAUCUCCAUGGCUACCUAUGCCACAUGCAUGGACUUGAACCAAGUGCUUUCUAAAGAUCAACAGAGCAAAAUCACCAACAGAGUGGCUCAUGGUAUGCCCAGAGCGGAGAAGACUUUUCAACAUUAGUCGUGUUACUUGGUCACAAG